AACGAACGCUGGCGGCGUGCCUAACACAUGCAAGUCGUGCGGGAAAGUGGGGGCAACCCCAUGAGUAGAGCGGCGCACGGGUGAGUAACACGUAGGUAACCUACCCGAAGGACUGGGAUAACCUGUCGAAAGAUGGGCUAAUACCCGAUAAGACCACGAAAGCCUCGGCUUUUGUGGCAAAAGGUGGCCUCUGCUUGCAAGCUACUACCAACGGAUGGGCCUGCGCGCCAUUAGCAGUUGGUGAGGUAACGGCUCACCAAGGCGAAGAUGGCUAGCUGGUCUGAGAGGAUGACCAGCCACACUGGGACUGAGACACGGCCCAGACUCCUACGGGAGGCAGCAGUGGGGAAUCUUGCGCAAUGGGCGAAAGCCUGACGCAGCGACGCCGCGUGGGUGAUGAAGGCCUUAGGGUCGUAAACGCCCUGUCGGGAGGGAAGAAACCUCUCGGUGCUAAUACCGCCGAGACUUGACGGUACCU
rnacentral:rRNA from 1 species